rnacentral:rRNA from 1 species
GACGAACGCUGGCGGCGUGCUUAACACAUGCAAGUCGAACGGAAAGGCCCUGCUUUUGGGGGGUGCUCGAGUUGCGAACGGGUGAGUAACACGUGAGUAACCUGCCCUUGACUUUGGGAUAACUUCAUGAAACUUGGUCUAAUACCGGAUAGGAGCUCCUGCUGCAUGGUGGGGGUUGGAAAGUUUCGGCGGUUGGGGAUGGACUCGCGGCUUAUCAGCUUGUUGGUGGGGUAGUGGCUUACCAAGGCUUUGACGGGUAGCCGGCCUGCGAGGGUGACCGGCAACAUUGGGACUGAGAUACGGCCCAGACUCCUACGGGAGGCAGCAGCGGGGAAUAUUGCACAAUGGGAGGAAGCCUGAUGCAGCAACGCCGAGUGCGGGAUGACGGCCUUCGGGUUGUAAACCGCUUUCGCCUGUGACGAAGCGUGAGUGACGGUAAUGGGUAAAGAAGCACCGGCUAACUACGUG